CACUGGUGUUGUGCUGCUUUUUGCUUGAUCCGUAAAUUGAAGUAGUUGGCCCAUAAACCCAAUUCGAAAGAAACCCUAAAACAGCCGAGGCUGAGUCGAUGAAUUCAUAUGUCUUCAUCGUUCCAAAUUCCUCCAAUCCUGACUGUUUUACUCGCAACCCACUCUUAAUUAUUCAUUUAUGCUCCUUCCACCUUCCUCUCUUGCUCUUAUAUAAACCCGUCGUCAAAGCUUUCAUGGAAUCAUAUUCAACAACUUGGAUCGAUGGCCAUGAAAUCAGUUCAAUCCUCCGGCAAGUCUCCUCUUGCAUUGUAUUUCAACAAUCUCACACCAUGUUAGAGUUUUUAUUCUUUACCGAAGCUUGAAAGAGAAUUUAAACGUCCUCAGCCAGCCAUGUCGAAUACAUAAGUUCAAAAGAAUAUGAAGAGCCCAUCGUAUGUUUCCUUGGAUUUAUCUGUUUCAUCUUUUUGUUUCAACUGCUUUCUCUCUAUAUCCUGACAAAUUCAAUUUCUUUUCACAGCGGCUCCAGAUUCCUUGCCUUUAGUCUAUUCUGGCUCCUUUUGUGUAUGUUUAUAAUGGUAUAGUCGUUUCCAUAAUAUUUGAAGAUAUUUUUGAUGUAUUUUCACGUACCAGUUUCUAAGAGUCCUUUUUAAAGACAGAGGGAUGUUUGUGUUGGUUGUUUAGUUAAGCUACUACGACGCCGUACAAGUGGAGUUCUGGUGAUUUUCAUUCCAGUUCAUGUGAACUUAGGAAGCCAUUUUCAAAAGGUAGUGAAGAUCUGGUAAAAGCUCCGGCUACAAAUCCACCCGCCAAAGGUAUAGUGAAUUUUGAAAUCAAUAGUUCAGUCUAAAUCUGAACCAAGCCUUUCCAUUUUCUAGAUCUAGAAGUAUAUACUGUCAAUAUCGGCCAGAUCCCCUCAGCGCUAGCGUCAUGGACUACCGAAGCAAUCAACAGUGGAUCCUUCUGCCGCAUAGAUCCUGACAUGGAAACAUGGCUGAUCCCUAAACAGAAGCUACUAGACAUAGCAGAAAGCAAGAGCUCAUGGCUCGACAUGGUACUAUAUUUUUUCGUAACCUUCACUUAUGCCGGUUUUAUUUUUUCAAUUGGGAAAUUUUUCAUUUUAAAAUAUUUUUGCCUCAUCUUGAACUAACCUAAUUAGAAGGGGGAUUCAUGGCAUUCAUCAAUGUAGAAUCCAGAUCAAGACAGAGAACCAGAAGAUGCUAAAAAGUGUGUGUGUCUAUUAGUUGAAGGAAAUUGAUUUGAUUCCCCAUUUUGGAACUAAUCUAUUCUCUGACUGGAACAUAUGUAUAAGGAAGCUGAGGACCAUAAACAAAUGAUGCUUAGUCAAAUGUUGUGUUCCCAAGCCUGAGAGAGAAGUAAGUCCCAUCUAAAUGCUUGGAGUUCAUCUAUUUUUUUCUUCCUUUGUUUCUUUUGGGUCUGAAUUGUAGUUUUAUCCGUGGAAUAUUGUAACUGGUUCUAAGGCUAGCGUGGAUGCAUAGGUUCUUGGGAAUGAAGAAGCUUAUUUUUUUGCACCAGAGAGCUUUGGUUGUUGUUGUUACCAUUUCAAACCAGUUUAUUUAUUUGUAGAUGUUGUAGGCCACAUACAGUCUGUCCAAGGCUCGGCUCUCAACAACGUCACCGCAACUACUCGAGUUGUAGUCCAUUUUCUCAUUUCCCCAACUGUGGUGGUGUACUUUUAGGAGUUCAGUAUUAUACCUAGCUCAUGGUUCCGAACUUGCUGUGAUUCUGGUCAUAGAUGCAACUAUUGGUGCUUUUGAAGCGGGCUUAGAUAAUUUGAAAGCGCAGACAAGGAGCAUACACGGGUUCUUAUAGCUUUUGGUGUGGAGCAAGUCAUAGUCACAGUCAACAAAAUAGAUAUUGUUGCGUAUUUAACGGCCAUAUUUGAUUUGAUUAAGCUAGCAUUAGUUGGUAACCAAGCCUAUAAGACGCAGUCAAAGCUUGGAGAAGCAGAGAGCAAAGCUGAGAAUUUAAAAAAUUAAGCUCAGGAAUCACAAAACCAUUGUGUUGGGGUCCAAAAAGUAAAGAGUUUCAAGAAGAGA